AUGCCCCACCUGACUGUUUUUGAAGGGUGACUCUGUGACCCUUGCUCCAUCCUAUUUCUGUCUCUGCCUCUGCCUCUGCCUCUACCUCUUUGCUGCCCUUAGGUGAGCAGUUUUCCUCUGCUGGGCCCUUCCCCCAUGAUGGGCUGCCUCGCUUUAGGCCCAGAGCAAUUGAGUUGGCCAUCUGUGGUCUGAGUCUUCUGAACCUGUGAUCCCCAGGCCCAGAAGCAAUGAAGCCUAGUGACUAUGGAUGAAAACUUCAGAAACUGGGGAAAAAUACAGAACUGAUGGAAGACAGCUGAAAACAGUCAGCAGCAGAAAGUCCGGCACUACCGGCAUCUGAUCUUAAUCAUAAUAUAUCCUCUGUCUGGUUUGUCAAAAUCUAUCACUCAAGAACACCUUCAAUGGACAGUAAUUUGAGGUGUGGCUUAUUAGAUCACACGAUCUUAUGAAUAAUAAAAAGUUAUGGAAAAUUGCA